GGCAUUCAAGUAACCCUUGUCCAGAGGAAUCGUGGAAUCAAAAAAAUACAGAGUCCAUUCCAAACGGGGAUAUUCACGAAGAAUGGAUGAAGCAGAAUUGGAGUAGGCGGGACAACAUGUACAAUUCGGAAUUGCGUCUAAUAAAUGCAUACCUUUAUGAGGACUACAUCGCAGUCACGACGACGAUUCAAUUCAGAACUGGAAAGCCUGCCUACUGCCACUUCUAUGACUGUCACCAGCAGGAGAUUUCCAAUUCCACGUGGCGCUCCUCAUUUUUCCCUCUGAACAUUGUGUACUGUGUGCGGAGAGCCGGAGCCAAGUACAUAUCGAUUUCUUUAGAAAAGCACAGCGUUGCAGAAAAACCACCGAUCCCCAUGAUUUUCAGAGCGUACAAAGAUUAGAACCAAUUCACGAGUUGACAAUGUGCGUGGGGCCGUUCUACGGUGCCGAUAGAAAAUGGCUCCAGCUUGUGGAAUUUGUGGAGCACAUGCGGAUAUUUGAAGUAUCAAUGUUCUUCUUUACUGUAUUCGAUAUGGAUGCGUAUUCCCGUCUGGCGUUGGAUGAAUACGAGCGGCAGGGGAUCGCCGAGACUACAGUAAUCCAGACAGAGUAUGAGCAACUCGAUUGGAUGUUCCACUUGCUGCAGCUUCAUGACUGUUUCCAUCGCAGCAAAUACAUCUCAAGAUGGGUCAUAAAUGCAGAUAUUGACGAGCGAUUCGUGAUGUUUCAGCCAGAAACUACCCUUAUUCAACUCCUUCGGUCCCAGGAUGCAAAUGUUGGGGAGCUGAAUUUUCAGGCGCGACGGAUUCAAAAAACCGAAAACUCACCGCAGAAAUUCACCAAUCUGCAAGACACCAUCGAAAACCUGGAGGCGCUGAAAUUCCGGAACACUACUAGAACUCAAAUCUGGGAAUCUUCAAAAAGUAUAUACCGCCCGGAAAUGGUCGCCGUACAAACCUACCAUCACACUCAUCUACAGUAUCCCGGCGUUAUCGUGAAAAAUGUUCCCAGGGAGACUGCCGGGUUUAGACACUACCGAAUGACCUCCGUCAGAAAUAGUAUCGGAAAUGGUUGGAUUUACGGCGACAACUUCACUAUAACCGAGCUGGAUAGGGAGCUGGAGAAGCUUCUGGUGCAUAAAGUUGCUAAUAUGGCUGAGCAUAUUUAUGGGUCUUGAAAUGAAGAAAUUGCAGUAACUUACUGUACCGGUUUUGUAUUCCUUUUUUUUCAUGUCGAAAUAAAUCAAAUC
rnacentral:misc_RNA from 1 species